rnacentral:rRNA from 1 species
CUACGGGUUGCAGCAGUGAGGAAUUUUGCGCAAUGGAGGAAACUCUGACGCAGCGACGCCUCGUGAAUGAUGACGUCCUUCGGGAUGUAAAGUUCUGUCAGUGGGGAAGAUAAUGACGGUACCCACAGAGGAAGCACCGGCUAACUACGUGCCAGCAGCCGCGGUAAUACGUAGGGUGCAAGCGUUAUCCGGAAUUACUGGGCGUAAAGGGAGCGUAGGCGGUUAGGUAAGUUAGGUGUGAAAGAUAUAGGCUUAACCUGUAUUUGCGCCUAAAACUGCUUAGCUAGAGGAUGCUAGAGGAAAGCGGAACUCGCGGUGUAGCGGUGAAAUGCGUAGAUAUCGCGAGGAACACCAGUGGCGAAGGCGGCUUUCUGGGGCAUACCUGACGCUGAGGCUCGAAAGCGUGGGGAGCAAACAGGAUUAGAUACCCGUGUAGUC